rnacentral:rRNA from 1 species
CAGUCGCCGCGGUAAUACGAAGGGGGCUAGCGUUGUUCGGAAUCACUGGGCGUAAAGGGUGCGUAGGCGGGCAUUUAAGUCAGGGGUGAAAUCCCGAGGCUCAACCUCGGAACUGCCCUUGAUACUGGGUGUCUUGAGUCCGGAAGAGGUGAGUGGAACUGCGAGUGUAGAGGUGAAAUUCGUAGAUAUUCGCAAGAACACCGGUGGCGAAGGCGGCUCACUGGUCCGGAACUGACGCUGAGGCACGACAGCGUGGGGAGCAAACAGGAUUAGAUACCCCUGUAGUCCCUGUCUCUUAUAC